rnacentral:tRNA from 1 species
GGAGUUGUGCCUGAAUUAUAAGGCCCACUUUGAUAGAGUGAAUUAUAGGGGUUAAAUUCCCCUCAUCUCCU